UUCAAAUAAAUAAUACUUUUAGUAUAAAUUAGACAUCUAUAUAAUUUAAUAAGGGCAUAUUUUUUUAAUUAAAUGAAAUUCUUUGAGGAAUUUUUAAAGUAAAUAUAAAUAUAGAUUCAAAGAUUCCCUAAUAAGUUAACUUUAAUUUAAAACUUUUGCUAAAUAUAUAGGUAAUAUAAGGAAUAAUAUAGUAGAAUUGAAACAUCUUAUUAUAUAUAUAUGUAAAUUAAAAAAAGAUUAUCGUAGUAUUUGAGAGUGAAAUGAUAAUAGUCUAUAUUGUUAUUAAUAUAUAAUUAUAUUAAAAUAAGAUUAAAAUCUUAGAUGGUAUAAGUCCAGUAAUCAAAAAUAUAUUUUUAUAUACCUUGAGUAAUAUAAAAUACAUUGUAUGAAUUAUCAAGAUCCAUCUUGAAAGACUAAAUAAAUUUAUAGAUGAUCAAUAGUGAAAAUUAAGUACUGUAAAGGAAAAUUGAAAAGAACCUUUUAAAUGGAGUGAAAUAGAAUCUAAAACUAUAAAGUUUAUAAUUAGUAGAUAGUUUUUUAUUUAAAAAGUUUAUGACUGCAUGCCUGUUGAAGAAUGAGUCCUCAAAUUUUUUAUAGUGGCUUGACUAAUAAUUAAUUAAAUCAAAGUGAAAGCAUGUCAUUUUUUCAAUUGUCACUAUUAAUAAACCCGAAACCGAGUGAUCUAUCUAUAAUCAGGAUGAAACUUUUUUAAAAAGGAAAGUUUAGGUCCGAACUAAUUGAUGCUAAAAAAUCAUUGGAUGAAUUAUGGUUAGAGGUGAAAUGCUAAUCGAACUCGGAUAUAGCUGGUUCUCCCCGAAAUGUAUUAAGGUACAUCAGUUUAUUUAUUGUUUUUAAAGGGGUAAAGAAAUUUUUUUGUUUGAAUAAAAUUAUAAUAUAAAAAUAAAGACAAACUCAAAAUACUAUAUUUAAUAUAUGAUUAGUGAGAUGAUGGGGGAUAAUCUUCAUCAUCAAUAGGGAAACAACCCAAAAUUGUCUAUUAAGGUCCCUAAAUGAUUAUUUAUUUAAUAAAGGAAGUAAAAAUAUAUAAACAAACAAUAGGUUUGCCUAGAAGCAGCUAACCUUUAAUAAGUGCGUAAUUGCUUAUUGAUUUAAUGUUUUUGUAUCAAUCAUUAAAGGGUAUAAAUUAUCUACCGAAUUUACAGGAAAUUAAUUUUAUAUAAUUAUUUAUCGGUAGGGGAGCGUUAUGUAUUAAUUUAAUCUGAAUAAUACAUAAGUGAUAAUGAAGACUUUAAUAACAUAAAUAUUGGUGAGAAUCCAAUUAUCUGAAAUUCUAAAGGUUCCUUUGAUAGAUUUAUUCACAUAGGUUAAGUCAGAUCCUAAGAAAAUUUUUAUAAAAUAAAUAAUCGAUGGAAAAUAGGUAAAUAUUCCUGUACUAUAUUAUUUAUAUAUUUAAUUAUAAGUAUAAGUAUAUAAAGUAAAUAUAAAAUAAAGAAAGAGUAAUAGAUUAAACUAAAAGUUGAUUAUUGGUUUAAAGAAUUAAAAAUUAUUUUUAUAUAAAUAUAUAAAAAAGAAAUGAUAGAGAAAAUAUUAAUAGUUUACAUUCUAAUAUUAUGCAUUUUUAUGCUAAAAAAUCUAUUUCAUAUUUUCAUGAAAAGAUAAAAAAUAUAUCUGUACAUAAAACCAACACAGGUAAUUAGGUAAAGAAUACUUAAGAUUCGAGAUAAUUUUUUCUAAGGAACUUGGCAAAAUAAUUUCGUAACUUUUUGAAUAAGAAAUACUCAUACUAUUGAGUUUCAAUAACUAGGUCUGAGCGACUGUUUAACAAAAACACAGGUCUCCGCUAAGUUGUAAGAUCAUGUAUGGGGGCUGACGCCUGCCCAGUGCUGAAAAGUGAAAAAAUUUGUAAUAUGAUUUUAAUUAUAUAAAACAUGUAUAAAAAACAUAUAAGCUAAUAAAUUUAGCUCCAGUAAACGGCGGCUGUAACUAUAACGGUCCUAAGGUAGCGAAAUUCCUUGUCGGGUAAGUUCUGACCUGCAUGAAAGGCGUAACGACUCAGGCACUGUCUUGGAGAAUAUCUUGGUGAAAUAAAUAUUUCUGUGAAGACACGGAAUUCUUUUACCUGGACAGAAAGACCCUAUGAAGCUUUACUGUUUUCUAAGAUUGAAUUUAUGAAAAUUUUUUGUGGAAAAAAUUACAAAUAUUAUUUUUAAAAACCACUAUUAAUAAUUUAUAGUUCUAACUUAUUAUAUAGAAUAUUAUAAGGAUAAUUUUAGAUAGACAGUUUAUAUGGGGCAUAGACCCCCAAAAAUGUAAUGGGGGUGCAUUAUAAAGGUUAUUUUUGGUCAUAUUAAUAAAAUAUUAUUGUCUUUAUAAGUGUAAAGAUAAAAGAAAGCUUGAUUGUAAAACAAACUUGUUGAGCAGGGACGAAAGUCGAUCUUAGUGAUAUGACAAUAAUAAUUAAAUGGAAUAUUUGUCGAACAACGAAUGAAAGUUACUCUAGGGAUAACAGGCUGAUCUUAUCCAAAAGUUCAUAUUGACGAUAUGGUUUGGCACCUCGAUGUCGGCUCUUCAUUUCCUGGAGCUGUAGUAUGUUUCAAGGGUAGGACUGUUCGUCCAUUAAAAUGGUACGUGAGCUGGGUUCAGAACGUCGUGAGACAGUUCGGUCCAUAUCCGGUAUUAGCAUUAAAAUAUUGAAUAGAUUUUUUUUUAGUACGAGAGGACCAAAUAAAAAUAUAUUUAUGGUGUAUCAUUUAUUUAUUUUUAUAGUAAAGUUGAGUAGCCAAAUAUAUAUGAAUAAUUGCUGAAAGAAUAUAAAGUAAUAAGACAUCUAUAAGAUUAAUAUUUUUAUAAA
rnacentral:rRNA from 1 species